GUGUAUGGCCAUACCACCCUGAACGUGCCCGAUCUCAUCUGAUCUUGGAAGCUAAAGUGGGUCGGGCCUGGUUAGUACUUGGGUGGGAGGAGGAGACUGGGCCAGUGGUGGUUG
rnacentral:rRNA from 1 species